rnacentral:rRNA from 1 species
ACGAACGCUGGCGGCGUGGAUAAGACAUGCAAGUCGAACGAGAGAAUUGCUAGCUUGCUAAUAAUUCUCUAGUGGCGCACGGGUGAGUAACACGUGAGUAACCUGCCCCCGAGAGCGGGAUAGCCCUGGGAAACUGGGAUUAAUACCGCAUAGUAUCGAAAGAUUAAAGCAGCAAUGCGCUUGGGGAUGGGCUCGCGGCCUAUUAGUUAGUUGGUGAGGUAACGGCUCACCAAGGCGAUGACGGGUAGCCGGUCUGAGAGGAUGUCCGGCCACACUGGAACUGAGACACGGUCCAGACACCUACGGGUGGCAGCAGUCGAGAAUCAUUCACAAUGGGGGAAACCCUGAUGGUGCGACGCCGCGUGGGGGAAUGAAGGUCUUCGGAUUGUAAACCCCUGUCAUGUGGGAGCAAAUUAAAAAGAUAGUACCACAAGAGGAAGAGACGGCUAACUCUGUGCCAGCAGCCGCGGUAAUACAGAGGUCUCAAGCGUUGUUCGGAAUCACUGGGCGUAAAGCGUGCGUAGGCUGUUUCGUAAGUCGUGUGUGAAAGGCGCGGGCUCAACCCGCGGACGGCACAUGAUACUGCGAGACUAGAGUAAUGGAGGGGGAACCGGAAUUCUCGGUGUAGCAGUGAAAUGCGUAGAUAUCGAGAGGAACACUCGUGGCGAAGGCGGGUUCCUGGACAUUAACUGACACUGAGGCACGAAGGCCAGGGGAGCGAAAGGGAUUAGAUACCCCUGUAGUCCUGGCAGUAAACGGUGCACGCUUGGUGUGCGGGGAAUCGACCCCCUGCGUGCCGGAGCUAACGCGUUAAGCGUGCCGCCUGGGGAGUACGGUCGCAAGAUUAAAACUCAAAGAAAUUGACGGGGACCCGCACAAGCGGUGGAGUAUGUGGCUUAAUUCGAUGCAACGCGAAGAACCUUACCUGGGCUUGACAUGUAAUGAACAACAUGUGAAAGCAUGCGACUCUUCGGAGGCGUUACACAGGUGCUGCAUGGCCGUCGUCAGCUCGUGUCGUGAGAUGUUUGGUUAAGUCCAGCAACGAGCGCAACCCCUGUUGCCAGUUACCAGCACGUGAAGGUGGGGACUCUGGCGAGACUGCCCAGAUCAACUGGGAGGAAGGUGGGGACGACGUCAGGUCAGUAUGGCCCUUAUGCCCAGGGCUGCACACGUACUACAAUGCCCAGUACAGAGGGGGCCGAAGCCGCGAGGCGGAGGAAAUCCUAAAAACUGGGCCCAGUUCGGACUGUAGGCUGCAACCCGCCUACACGAAGCCGGAAUCGCUAGUAAUGGCGCAUCAGCUACGGCGCCGUGAAUACGUUCCCGGGUCUUGUACACACCGCCCGUCACAUCAUGGAAGCCGGUCGCACCCGAAGUAUCUGAAGCCAACCGCAAGGAGGCAGGGUCCUAAGGUGAGACUGGUAACUGGGAUG